AAAUAUAAAUCUUUUCCUUUUAUUUUCAGAACAUGCAGAAACAUUAAAAGAGGAUACCAGAUCCUGGGAUGAAAUAGAUGAUGACAGUGGUGAAGAAAAUUUUGUAAUUUGUUAUUCAGAUGGAGUCAGUGCAAAAGUAAAAAAGGAUCAAGAAGACGAAGUGGGCAUCUCCCAGUAUACUGAAUACCCAAUAGACUUCUGGUUUCUUAUCAGUGAGAAAAUACACCCUGAAGAUGUGGGAAGAUUUGCUCUAAUAUGUCAUGCUACAUAUUAUGUUGUCUCAACUGCUCGAUUUUGGUUCUCUUUAUACCGAAGGUAAAGUAUAAUCAUCAUUUGUCCACUUACUUGGUUCAUUAUUUAUGAAUGUAAAUUGUAUGGGAACCUACUACAUUUUUACUUGCUGAAUUAAAGAUGUGGCAGAUUUCUUAAAUAGUGUAUUUUAAUUUCCUUGCGUAGGAACUUUCAACUUUGGACGUCAAGAGAAAAUUUUUGUACUCGUUCCAAUAAUUUGAUUGUUACUUUGGGUAGUGGUUACAGAUUAGCUUUUAUCAUGUGUAUAUAUCAAAUGUGUUUUUCAAGAAAGCUUCUUCCAAGAAAUUUAAUUGUUUUAGUUUUAUGUCACUGGAAUAAAGUAAAUGGCUCAUUUGUAGUGUACUGUAUCAUAAUUUUAAUGUGGCUUGAUUUGUACAAAUGAGAAGAAAAUCCCUCCCACGAAGAAAGAGUAGAAGCUCUACGAUGCUCCUUCUUACUAUAAAAUAGCUUCCACUUCUCUCUAGGCUAUGCACGGCAUUCCGUGCUGGGAUUUGUUAUUGUACAAACAUUAGAAUGACACCUACUACAAGUUCUGUGAGGAUCUGUCACUGAAGCAGCUAUAAAACGAGAACACGGGAAACCUUGAGUACCUGGGCACACACGUCGUCGAGGCUGAGAAGGAGCAGAAAAACUAAUAAUAAAACACACACACACGCGAAAACGGGCGAUGAACCGGGUAAAGGCCGAGAGAGGUCAACCACAACUCUCGCCCAGGCGCUUAAGAAAAAGACUGAACGCUGUGGCGUGGGUGCGUGGUCCUUGGCCACUUUUCACCUGAUAUACUUACACGUUGCCAGAUCUCGCAAGAUUCCUUGCUUUUCAUCUGCGAUUUAACUGGAUCCAGCUAGGCGCUAGAAAUUAUCCUAUUGUUAAGACCUCAGGUUUGUGGCUAUGAAAAAUACAAUUGUUCCGACACG